rnacentral:rRNA from 1 species
GGUCCAGACUCCUACGGGAGGCAGCAGUGGGGAAUAUUGCACAAUGGGGGAAACCCUGAUGCAGCCAUGCCGCGUGUGUGAAGAAGGCCUUCGGGUUGUAAAGCACUUUCAGCGAGGAGGAAAGGUUGUUGGCUAAUAUCCAACAGCUGUGACGUUACUCGCAGAAGAAGCACCGGCUAACUCCGUGCCAGCAGCCGCGGUAAUACGGAGGGUGCAAGCGUUAAUCGGAAUUACUGGGCGUAAAGCGCACGCAGGCGGUUGGAUAAGUUAGAUGUGA